GACGAACGCUGGCGGCGUGCCUAAUACAUGCAAGUCGAACGCAGUGGGGACGGGUGAGUAACACGUGGGUAACCUCCCAUCAGAGGGGAUAACACUUGGAAACAGGUGCUAAACCGAUCCUGAUGGAUGAACCCGCGGUGCAUUGUCUAGUUGGUGAGGUAACGGCUGACCAAGGUCACGAUGCAUAGCCGACCUGAGAGGGUGUGCGGCUCCAAUGGGACUGAGACACUGCCCAGACUCCUACGUGAGGCAGCAGUAGGGAAGCUUCGGCAGUGGACGAAAGUCUGACCGUGCAACGCCGCGUGAGUGAAGAAGGUUUUCGGAUCGGAAAACUCUGUUGUUAGAGAAGCGGGAUCUAACCAGAAAGCCACGGCUAACUACGUGCCAGCAGCCGCGGUAAUAC
rnacentral:rRNA from 1 species